rnacentral:hammerhead_ribozyme from 1 species
AUUCAGAUGACGAGUCUCAUAUAGGACGAAAGUCGCAUCCUGGAU